AGCAGCCGCGGUAAUUCCAGCUCCAAUAGCGUAUAUUAAAGUUGCUGCAGUUAAAAAGCUCGUAGUUGAAUUUCGGGACCAUCAUGUCGGUCGUGCCUCGGUACGUACUGGCAUUGUUGGUUUCUCCCUUCUGACGAACCAUGAUGUCAUUAAUUUGGUGUUAUGGGAAAUCAGGACUGUUACUUUGAAAAAAUUAGAGUGUUUAAAGCAGGCAUUAGCUUGAAUACAUUAGCAUGGAAUAAUGAAAUAGGACGUUCGAACCUAUUUUGUUGGUUUUUAGGAUCGACGUAAUGAUUAAUAGGGAUAGUUGGGGGCAUUAGUAUUCAAUUGUCAGAGGUGAAAUUCUUGGAUUUAUUGAAGACUAACUACUGCGAAAGCAUUUGCCAAGGAUGUUCUCAUUAAUCAAGAACGAAAGUUAGGGGAUCGAAGACGAUCAGAUACCGUCGUAGU
rnacentral:rRNA from 1 species